rnacentral:rRNA from 1 species
UACAGAGGUCUCAAGCGUUGUUCGGAUUCAUUGGGCGUAAAGGGUGCGUAGGCGGCGCGGUAAGUCGGGUGUGAAAUCCCGAGGCUCAACCUCGGAACUGCGUCUGAAACUACUCGACUAGAGUACUGGAGAGGGUAACGGAAUUCACGGUGUAGCAGUGAGAUGCGUAGAUAUCGUGAGGAACACCAGAGGCGAAGGCGGUUACCUGGACAGUUACUGACGCUCAGGCACGAAAGCAUGGGGAGCAAAAGGG